UGGCGGCGUGCCUCAGACAUGCAAGUCGAACGCGAAAGAAGCCUUCGGGUUUCAAGUAGAGUGGCGUCCGGGUGAGUAACACGUAGGUAAUCUACCUUCGGGUGGGGAAUAACGCAGGGAAACUUGCGCUAAUACCGCAUAAUGCAGCGGCACCACAUGGUGACAGUUGUUAAAGCGGGGGAUUUUCGAACCUCGCGCCUGAAGAGGAGCCUGCGGCAGAUUAGCUAGUUGGUAGGGUAACGGCUUACCAAGGCGACGAUCUGUAGCCGGCCUGAGAGGGCGGUCGGCCACACUGACACUGACAUACGGGUCAGACUCCUACGGGAGGCAGCAGUCGGGAAUUUUGGGCAAUGGGCGAAAGCCUGACCCAGCAACGCCGCGUGAAGGAUGAAAUCCCUCGGGAUGUAAACUUCGCAAGAAUGGGAAGAAUAGACGAGUACUAAUACUGCUCGUGAUGACGGUACCAUUUGUAAGCUCCGGCUAACUCCGUGCCAGCAGCCGCGGUAAUACGGGGGGAGCAAGCGUUGUUCGGAUUUACUGGGCGUAAAGGGCGCGUAGGCGGCCAGCACAAGUCAGUUGUGAAAUCUCCGGGCUUAACUCGGAAAGGUCAACUGAUACUGUGCGGCUAGAGUGCAGAAGGGGCAACUGGAAUUCUCGGUGUAGCGGUGAAAUGCGUAGAUAUCGAGAGGAACACCUGCGGCGAAGGCGGGUUGCUGGGCUGACACUGACGCUGAUGCGCGAAAGCCAGGGGAGCGA
rnacentral:rRNA from 1 species